GUGCCAGCAGCCGCGGUAAUACGGAAGGUCCGGGCGUUAUCCGGAUUUAUUGGGUUUAAAGGGAGCGCAGACGGCUUGGUAAGCGUGCAGUGAAAUCCGGCGGCUCACCCGUCGGAGUGCUGCGUGAACUGCCUGGCUUGAGUGAGCCGGAAGAGGGCGGAAUUUGUGGUGUAGCGGUGAAAUGCUUAGAUAUCACGAAGAACUCCGAUUGCGUAGGCAGCCCUCUGUAGCUUUACCGACGUUCAUGCUCGAAGGUGCGGGUAUCGAACAGGAUUAGAUACCCUGGUAGUCCGCACUGUAAACGAUGGAUGCUCGCUGUUUGCCAGUUCUGGUGAGUGGCCCAGCGAAAGCGUUAAGCAUCCCACCUGGGGAGUACGCCGGCAACGGUGAAACUCAAAGGAAUUGACGGGGGCCCGCACAAGCGGAGGAACAUGUGGUUUAAUUCGAUGAUACGCGAGGAACCUUACCCGGGCUUGAAUUGCAGAGGAAUCGUCCAGAGAUGGAUGAGUCUUUCGGGACCUCUGUGAAGGUGCUGCAUGGUUGUCGUCAGCUCGUGCCGUGAGGUGUCGGCUUAAGUGCCAUAACGAGCGCAACCCUUUUCCUUAGUUGCCAUCAGUUAGAGCUGGGCACUCUGGGGAUACUGCCACCGCAAGGUGUGAGGAAGGUGGGGAUGACGUCAAAUCAGCACGGCCCUUACGUCCGGGGCUACACACGUGUUACAAUGGCGCGUACAGAGCGUCGGCCGCCCGCGAGGUCGGUCCAAUCGCAAAAACGCGUCUCAGUUCGGACCGGGGUCUGCAACCCGACCCCGCGAAGCUGGAUUCGCUAGUAAUCGCGCAUCAGCCAUGGCGCGGUGAAUACGUUCCCGGGCCUUGUACACACCGCCCGU
rnacentral:rRNA from 1 species